rnacentral:rRNA from 1 species
UAACUCCGUGCCCAGCACCCGCGGUAAUACGGGAGGUUGCAAGCUUUAUCCGGAAUCAUUGGGUUUAAAAGGGGUCCGCAGGCGGUCAAAUAAAGUCAGAGNUGAAAUCCCAUAGCUUAACUAUGGGAACUGCUUUUGAUACUGUUGACUUGAGUUAUACGGAAGUAGAUAGAAUGUGUAGUGUAGCGGUGAAAUGCAUAGAGAUUACACAGAAUACCGAUUGCGAAGGCAGUCUACUACGUAUAUACUGACGCUCAUGGACGAAAGCGUGGGGAGCGAACGGGAUUAGAUACCCCGGUAGUCCACGCCGUAAACGAUGGACACUAGUUGUUGGGGUUUACCUCAGUGACUAAGCGAAAGUGAUAAGUGUCCCACCUGGGGAGUACGAUCGCAAGAUUGAAACUCAAAGGAAUUGACGGGGGCCGCACAAGCGGUGGAGCAUGUGGUUUAAUUCGAUGAUACGCGAGGAACCUUACCAGGGCUU